rnacentral:rRNA from 1 species
UACGUAGGGUGCAAGCGUUAAUCGGAAUUACUGGGCGUAAAGCGUGCGCAGGCGGUUUUGUAAGACGGAUGUGAAAUCCCCGGGCUCAACCUGGGAACUGCAUUCGUGACUGCAAGGCUAGAGUAUGGCAGAGGGGGGUAGAAUUCCACGUGUAGCAGUGAAAUGCGUAGAGAUGUGGAGGAAUACCGAUGGCGAAGGCAGCCCCCUGGGCCAAUACUGACGCUCAUGCA